rnacentral:rRNA from 1 species
AGUGAACGCUGGCGGUAGGCCUAACACAUGCAAGUCGAACGGCAGCACAGUAAGAGCUUGCUCUUACGGGUGGCGAGUGGCGGACGGGUGAGGAAUACAUCGGAAUCUACUUUUUCGUGGGGGAUAACGUAGGGAAACUUACGCUAAUACCGCAUACGACCUACGGGUGAAAGCAGGGGAUCUUCGGACCUUGCGCGAUUGAAUGAGCCGAUGUCGGAUUAGCUAGUUGGCGGGGUAAAGGCCCACCAAGGCGACGAUCCGUAGCUGGUCUGAGAGGAUGAUUAGGCACACUGGAACUGAGAAAAGGUCCCGAAUCCUAAGGGAAGCAGGAGUGGGGAAUAUUUGACAAUGGGGGCAAGCCUGAACCAGCCAUACCGGGUGGGUGAAGAAGGCCUUCCGGUUGUAAAGCCCUUUUGUUGGGAAAGAAAAGCAGCAGGUUAAUACCCCGCUGUUCUGACGGUACCCAAAGAAUAAGCACCGGCUAACUUCGUG